rnacentral:rRNA from 1 species
ACGCCUAACACAUGCAAGUCGAACGAAGUAGCAAUACUUAGUGGCAGACGGGUGAGUAACAUGUAGGUAUCUGCCCUUUGGCCUGGAAUAACACGAGGAAACUUGUGCUAAUACCGGAUAAGUCUUUACGGAGAAAGCUUUAUGCACCAUUGGAUGAGCCUGCACUUGAUUAGUUUGUUGGUGGGGUAAUGGCCUACCAAGACUGUGAUCAAUAGCUGAUUUGAGAGGAUGAUCAGCCACAUUGGGACUGAGACACGGCCCAAACUCCUACGGGAGGCAGCAGUGGGGAAUCUUGCACAAUGGAGGAAACUCUGAUGCAGCGAUGCCGCGUGAGUGAAGAAGGCCUUUGGGUUGUAAAGCUCUUUCGUCGGGGAAGAAAAUGACUGUACCCGAAUAAGAAGGUCCGGCUAACUUCGUGCCAGCAGCCGCGGUAAUACGAAGGGACCUAGCGUAGUUCGGAAUUACUGGGCUUAAAGAGUUCGUAGGUGGUUGAAAAAGUUGGUGGUGAAAUCCCAGGGCUUAACUCUGGAACUGCCAUCAAAACUUUUCAGCUAGAGUAUGAUAGAGGAAAGCAGAAUUUCUAGUGUAGAGGUGAAAUUCGUAGAUAUUAGAAAGAAUACCAAUUGCGAAGGCAGCUUUCUGGAUCAUUACUGACACUGAGGAACGAAAGCAUGGGUAGCGAAGAGGAUUAGAUACCCUCGUAGUCCAUGCCGUAAACGAUGUGUGUUAGACGUUGGAAAUUUAUUUUCAGUGUCGCAGCGAAAGCGAUAAACACACCGCCUGGGGAG